rnacentral:rRNA from 1 species
ACGCGAAGAACCUUACCCGGGCUUGAACUAACGGUGACGAAUCUAGAGAUAGAUUUUUCUUCGGACACCGUUGGAGGUGCUGCAUGGUUGUCGUCAGCUCGUGCCGUGAGGUGUCGGCUUAAGUGCCAUAACGAGCGCAACCCUUCUCCUCGGUUGCCAUCGGGUAAUGCCGGGCACUCCGUGGACACUGCCAUCGUAAGAUGUGAGGAAGGUGGGGAUGACGUCAAAUCAGCACGGCCCUUACGUCCGGGGCUACACACGUGUUACAAUGGGGGGUACAGAAGGCCGCUACCCGGCGACGGGAUGCAAAUCUUUAAAACCUCUCUCAGUUCGGAUCGGAGUCUGCAACCCGACUCCGUGAAGCUGGAUCGCUAGUAAUCGCGCAUCAGC